rnacentral:rRNA from 1 species
UACGGGGGGGGCAAGCGUUGUUCGGAAUUACUGGGCGUAAAGGGUUCGUAGGUGGCCAACUAAGUCAGACGUGAAAUCCCUCAGCUUAACUGGUGAACUGCGUCUGAGACUGGAUGGCUUGAGUGCAGGAGAGGAACGCGGAAUUCCAGGUGUAGCGGUGAAAUGCGUAGAUAUCUGGAGGAACACCGGUGGCGAAGGCGGCGUUCUGGACUGCUACUGACACUGAGGAACGAAAGCCAGGGGAGCAAACGGG